rnacentral:rRNA from 1 species
AUUGAACGCUGGCGGCAGGCCUAACACAUGCAAGUCGAGCGAGCGGCGGACGGGUGCGUAAUGUCUGGGAAACUGCCUGAUGGAGGGGGAUAACUACUGGAAACGGUAGCUAAUACCGCAUACCAUCAGAUGUGCCCAGAUGGGAUUAGCUAGUAGGUGGGGUAACGGCUCACCUAGGCGACGAUCCCUAGCUGGUCUGAGAGGAUGACCAGCCACACUGGAGCUGAGACACGCUCCAGACUCCUACGGGAGGCAGCAGGGGAGAAUAUUGCACAAUGGGCGCGAGCCUGAUGCAGACAUGCCGCGUGUGUGAAGAAGGCCGUCGGGUUGUAAAGCACGUUCAGCGGGGAGGCGUUACCCGCAGAAGAAGCACCGGCUAACUCCGUGCCAGCAGCCGCGGUAAUAC